AAGCCCCUCGGUGCUCAUCAGGUAUA
rnacentral:misc_RNA from 1 species